UACGGAGGGUGCGAGCGUUGUCCGGAAUCAUUGGGCGUAAAGGGCGCGUAGGUGGCCACUUCAAGCGUGCGGUGAAAGUCGGGGGCUCAACCCCUGAUCGGCCGUGCGAACUGGGGGGCUGGAGCACUGUAGAGGCAGGCGGAAUUCCGGGUGUAGCGGUGGAAUGCGUAGAUAUUCGGAAGAACACCAGUGGCGAAGGCGACUUACUGGACACAUAUUGACGCUGAGGUGCGAAAGCGUGGGGAGCAAACAGG
rnacentral:rRNA from 1 species